rnacentral:rRNA from 1 species
GACGAACGCUGGCGGCGUGCUUAACACAUGCAAGUCGAACGGAAAGGCCCUGCUUUUGUGGGGUGCUCGAGUGGCGAACGGGUGAGUAACACGUGAGUAACCUGCCCUUGACUUUGGGAUAACUUCAGGAAACUGGGGCUAAUACCGGAUAGGAGCUCCUGCUGCAUGGUGGGGGUUGGAAAGUUUCGGCGGUUGGGGAUGGACUCGCGGCUUAUCAGCUUGUUGGUGGGGUAGUGGCUUACCAAGGCUUUGACGGGUAGCCGGCCUGAGAGGGUGACCGGCCACAUGGGGACGGAGAUCCGGCCCAGACCCCGACGGGGGGCAGAGGGGGGGAAUAUUGCACAAUGGGCGGAAGCCUGAGGCAGCAACGCCGGGUGCGGGAUGGCGGCCUUCGGGUUGUAAACCGCUUUCGCCUGUGACGAAGCGUGAGUGACGGUAAUGGGUAAAGAAGCACCGGCUAACUACGU